AGUAAAGUGGCCGACAACUCAAGCAAAAGAUUGUAGCUCUUCCUACGGGACACCCCCCUUUACAC
rnacentral:tRNA from 1 species